rnacentral:lncRNA from 7 species
AUUCAACAGUUCCUAUACAAAGUAGUGCAGCUUAUGGCUGGUUCCAAGCUACACACAAUGACUGGACACCAGAUAGAAGGAAAAACACUACUAAAAUAGUCCUUUGGUAUCCACUUACAAAAAUAAAUCUACCGAGCCUAAGAAGCUGGCUUUCUUGGCUUAAUGCUCCAUGAAUUGAUCCACUUCAUCAGUACUACUCAUUGAACUCUCCUUCAGAACCAGAACUCAUUUUAUUACAUGUGAAUUUUGUUCAACUAAAAUGGCACAGCAAAACAAUGUGUCUGGUCAAUGCAAAGAACAUCUGACAAAGAAAUCACCUAAAAGUCAUUGUCCAGUUUCCAGCUGCCCUUCAAAAAUUCAAGAAGUAGUUUUAGAUAAAGCACAUUACACUGAUUAUUCCAUUGCCGCUUUCCAAUUCUCCCAGAUGUUUGUUUGCAUAAAAAAUGAUCCAUUACAUACCUGUAAAACUUGUUCUUCUGAAGAUGACAUAAAUAGAUUAAUUCAAUUUGGUUUUGGUUUACAACAGCCAGGAGCACUGUCUAAAGAACUCAUUAACAGCAGCAAGUCCCACCUAGAUACAACCACUACCUUUCCCCUGUAGGUUUAUAGAGAAGAAUUCUAAAGAUACCCCAGAUCAUAAGUACCUGUGUACUUUCACUUUAUUAUUCUUUACAUGAAGACUGAAGGGUAAGCUGCAGAGUGACGUUUAAAAAAUCCACCCUUCACAAAUAGUAAAUUGGUUAAAUAAAAGGUUUCUGAAUACAUAAGUUAUAAUAUUCUUAUCAUUUAAGGUGCUUCAAUUUUGGAAUAAUGUGAUAAGCAAUGCCUUAAAACAUGAUGAACUGCAGUAAAAGGUUAUUCUUUUUUUUACAGGAAUGAGCAAAGUACCAUCUAAAAUUUGCCCAAUCUGUUUGAAAAGCCAGGGUUUUUACUCAAACCACUGGUAAAUUAACUGAGGAAGCAGAAGUCUUUAAACGUUUCUGUUGUGCGGAGAAUAAAGAACUGUGAAGUCUAACACUCGUUUAGAUACAAAUUGGGAAAUUACGUACCAUGUAUCUGAGACUCCAACUGCAAGUCAUUACAAAAUAUCGAUACUCAUUAGUCAAGCACAGAGCACUUGCAGGGUUGCUCUAAGAAAUGAUACAAAUACUAUUCUCAUAAAAUGGGUACAGCAAAGAAACUUGACUUUGUUGUAUUUGACCUAAAAGCUGCUGUUCUCCGCUCCAAUCCAGCAAAUUAGUUCUACGGAAGUUCACUUUUUCAACUUCAUCCUGCCACUUUUUGGUAGAG